UUGAGAGGUAAAAACUUGAGAAGAAAGCAGACGAGGAAACACAGAAACCAUCCUCCGUACAACAAAUGACCUGACAGACGUAGAGCUGAAGACACCGGGAAGUUUCCCAACCGCUAAGUCUCCACAUAGCUAGGACAACCAUUUGACUGACCAUUUAGAGACCUCGCCACCUUUGUGCAGUGUUCCUCCACCCGGUUACAUUCAGGUUCACUUUCUCCUUUAAUACCGCACCUCUUCUCCUCAGCCUGUGAGACGGCCUAAACCUUUUCCUCAGCAAGUGUCGCCUCUCCAGCUCGCUCUGUCACCUGAGGGUCCUACUACUGCCCUGAGUCUCUGAAUCAGCCCACCAUUGCCCUUGUGUCCCUGAGGUUCUGCAUUCUAUGCUUCGUCUUUCUUGGAAGCCUGGAGUCCUCCAUUCUGUGCUUCAAGUCUCCUCACAGGAUGCUCUAGGUGCCUACGCAUAGCCCGCAAGGCCCCGCCCCCAAGAUCACCUGAUCAGUCCGAAGCUCCGCCCAUGAAACUGCCUGAGGGGGGCUGGCACAAAGACCGAGCCGCUGGGGCUUCCUCCCGGGCUUCCUGGGAAGCAGCUGAGCUGGUGAGCAUCUGCCGCCUGGGCGCCUCCUAGAAAACGCUGAGGUGGCGCGCGCAACCCCACACCUCACAAGGGCCUGUGACCUCAUCCGAUCCAAUCGAAGCCGGUUGUGGACAUCGUUGGAAGACUGUCCUCAGACCUGGGUCCCAGCUGCCUCCUGUUCGACUUUCCGUCCUUCUCUGGUUCUCUUGGUUCCGCUGUGGCCUGUCCCCAACUUGAGGUCAUUUGACUAGAGACCUGUCUGUUCCUGACAGCACCCUUUCUUGGAUUCUAAGAAGAAACUGAGCAUCAAUGAAGUUGCUCCAAUUGUGGCAAGACAGCCACUAGGCAAGGAUUGCCUCAAUUCAUCUACAGACAAAAUACUGUCCAGAAAAAGGACAAACUAUGCAGAAUAGGUGACUAAAAAUCUCUGCCAAGACAGGGUAAUCAGCCCUUCAAAAUUCUGCAUUACAAAGGUCUGUCAGAUGAUCCUGGGCCAGAAGGCUGAAGACUGAUGCUCCAACACUUUGAGGAAUGAGGAACUGUCCAGAUGAUCAGCUGUCUCAAUAAAUUGGCUAAUUAUUGGAAGCUA